UACGUAGGGGGCAAGCGUUGUCCGGAUUUAUUGGGCGUAAAGAGCGUGUAGGCGGCCUGGAAGGUCAGCUGUGAAAACUCGAGGCUCAACCUCGAGACGUCGGUUGAAACCACCUGGCUAGAGUCCGGAAGAGGAGAGUGGAAUUCCUGGUGUAGCGGUGAAAUGCGCAGAUAUCAGGAAGAACACCCGUGGCUAAGGCGGCUCUCUAGUACGGUACUGACGCUGAGACGCGAAAGCGUGGGGAGCGAACAGG
rnacentral:rRNA from 1 species